rfam:Oryza sativa Japonica Group DNA, chromosome 7, cultivar: Nipponbare, complete sequence.
AAAAAGGUAAAUCCUAGAUUUUCGUGUCCAACUUCAACUGUCCGUCUUAUAUAAAAUUUUUUUAUAAUUUGUAUUUUUAUUGUUGUUAGAUAAUAAAACAUAAUUAAUAUUUUAUGCAUGACUUGUCUUUUUAAUUUUUUUUCAUAAAUUUUUUAAAUAAGACGGACGGUCAAACGUUAGACACGAAAACCACGGUUUGUCUUUUU